rnacentral:lncRNA from 1 species
UAAGGUAACUGUUUUAUCUGUUUACAACGACUAGAAACCCUUUUUAUUUAUUUUUUUUAAUCAUUCAAAGCAUCCUACCAGAGUGACAUUAAGGAUGGGUACAGAAUAGAAAAUGGACUUUUCUGUGAUUAAAAGUAAUCAGUCUGAUUUCGAAAACCUUACUGGUUAGUCUUAAUUCUUAAAAUUCCCUGGUCAAGCAUAAAGAGUGUAGUCUAGUUUGGUAUAAUGAAUAAUAAUAUAAUAAUACUAUACACAGAACUCUUAUUACCUGAUGUUAUCU